CAGACUUUGGGACUUGAAUGAAGUCACAAAACAAGGCAAAUGUGGAAGACAAAGAUAGCUCAUAAACUAGCACUUUAUUUAUUUAAGGUGAGAAAGCCCAAAUUUAAGAGGUUCAAUCUACCACUUGUCCAGAACUACACAAUUAUGAGCCAACAAAUUCAUUUGUUUGGGCAGCAUGCAAGGAAAUGAAAAUGAAGGCUCUGGAGCCAGGCCACUUGGGUUUACUAUUUCUUAUUUGUAUGAUCUUGAGAAAAUUAUUUAAACUCUGAGCUUCAGUGUCCUUGAUUUGAAACAGGGGUAAUAAUGGUUCUUUCAGAUGUAUCAUAAAGAUAAAAUGAGAUAAUGAGUGAAAAGCUUAAAAUACUCUAUUUUGGAAGAAUGAACCCUCAAGGAGGUUAUAUUCCAGUGGAAAAGCCAAAUAAUAAACUUGUAAAAAUACAAAUAAGUAAUUCUAAACACUAGAAAUCCUAUAAAGAAAUAGAAUAAGGAAAUGGGUUGGAAGAGUAGAGAUGGCGAGGUCUAAAAGGAUUCUUUCAAAGGGAUGGCAUUUGAGCUAUGAAUGACCAAUGGAGCCAGUCACACUGAACUGGAGAAUGAGUGCUCCAGGCAGAGGCAAGAGUAGGUGCAAAGGCACAGGGACGAGAAUCUGUUUUUCUUAUCCUAGAAACUGAAGGAAAGCCAGCAAUGGAGUGGAGUGAGGGCAAAGAAUUGGAGGUAGGGAAUGGAAGCAGGGCAGGUAGUAGAGUGGGAGGGGAUGGCAUUAGAGAGGUCAGUAGCAGUUGAUUACCACCAAUCUUGUAAGGUAUGAUGAGAAGCAUACAUUUUAUUUCAGAGGUAGUGGAAAGCCAUUGAAGCAUUUCAGGCAGGGGAGUGAUUGAUUGGAUUUAUUUUUUAACAGAUCAGUCUAGCUGCUAUAUCCAGAAUGGAUUGUGGCAAGCAAGAGUGGAAGCAUGGAGCCCAGUGAUGGAGCCACAGUGUAGAUCAUGUGGCUUGAACUAGGGAGGUGACCAGAGAGAUGAAGAGUAGUGGGUGGGUUCAGAGUAUCUGGGGCUUAAUGACAGAUAAUAUAUAUGGAGGAAAGGGCAGUGUGUUAGCAUCAGGGUGGAUGGCAGUGCAAUCUGCCUCAGUAGAGUAGAAGCAUGCUUGGAGUUUUAAAAGUUCUGUUUUUAAAAAACAAUUUAUUUAAAAUAAAAAGUUCUGUUUUGUUAUGUAGGAUGGGUUACAACAGGCAACAAGGAAACUUUUGGGGAUUAUGUACAGAUUCAUUAUCUUAAUUGUGAUAUUGGUUUCACAUGUGUAUACGUAGGCUGAAAUUCAAUACCUUACAUGCUUUAAAUAUGUGCUGAGUCCAUUAUAUGUCAAUAAAUCUGCAUUUUAAAAAGCUGUGAAAGAGAAUCAUGAUAUGCCAGCCCAAAAUAUGCUGCUU
rnacentral:lncRNA from 1 species